ensembl:lncRNA
GUUAACCCAGGGUGCGAUCUAAAACCUGCAGGACACCAGCACUCGAGGCCUGGAGUUGCCUACCCCUGGCCUAUAACGAAGUAGUUCUCUUGUGGAACUUUAGAUGAAUCAUUCAUGGAUUACUGGGUGUAACAUACUAUAAAUCUCCACUUAUAAGGAAAUCAUCCAACUGUAACUACCUGUCUCCAACUGACAAAUGCGCAGUAAAUGUACAUGACAUUGUAAGAUGACCUUAACCCUCACCCUAAUCUGUUGUAGUACAGUGGUAUUUCACACUCCAGUAACUGGAGAACCAGAACUUGUCCAGUCAGCAGCUUCAACAAAACCUGUUUUUUUAAAAGAAUAUAUGAAUGUUUCCCUACUUCCUCCUGAAAGUGUGUGUAAUCAUACGUACAUUUGUGCACGUAUACACAAAAGUCUGUGUCCUGUGUCCCCUCCAUCACUUACAGAUUCUCUUCUCCAGUUAGCUGAGCCCAGCCCAGCCCUACCAGGGAGUUCACCCCCCACCCCUCACUCUUUCCUGUGCAAAGUGUCUCUCUGUUCUGAAUAUUUAACUUUGCAGAUGUUUUGGCCGAAGUCGGGUAUUCCAUCAUUAUGCUUUUCUUGGAUCUUUAUUUUCAACCUGUUAAGCUCGUUCCUUGUUUUUUUUUUUUUCUUCUGUCAUUUUUUCCAUUUCUUUCUCCUCUUUUCUUCCAUCAGGCUAAAGCUACACUGAACAUAGUGAGAGCUUCGGGUGCCACUUGCCACACUUGGCCUCAAACUGCUGUUUAGGCUCACAAAUCAAAGUGAUUGGUUUAAAAGUUGCGUCCUCGUGUUGUUUUAAACAUGACAGAUCGUGAGUGAUUUAUAAUAGCCACAUGCUUUUGCCUCUGUCUGACACCCUGUGAUUCUGCCAUCAAAUCCUGUUUUUUCUUUUGUAGCACAGCAUAACACGAACAAAGUACCGUGGUGAAGAAACUGUAAUGACAAUUUCCCGAGAAUACCAUGAAGGGUUCACAAUUUAUCCCGAAGUAUGAAUCAGCCUUUCCUGUCCUUUAUUUUUUUCAUCUGUCUGGUUUCUUUUGCUCUCUCCUUCUUUGGUCAACCUUCCAGAGUUCAUGUUUUUCUGUUUAUUUUUCUCGCUUUAACUCGAUGCAUCACUGUUAUCAUUCUUAACCUGUUAAAACAGCGAUAGACAAAUACAGACAUGACCUCAGUCUUCUUUCUCUUCUCUCUUCUCUGUUUGUUCCUUUUUCCAACAUCCUGGUUCCCAUUAAUCUGACUUAACUUUAUGAUAACACUUUUUUCCCCCAACCUAUCACUUAAAAUUAACACCUAUGCCAUCCUUGGUUCUUACAGGGUGUCGGUUUGAGUGUUGCCAGUUGUUUGAUGGUGUUUUUUUAAUUUGCUCUCACCUU